GUUCGGCUACAUCACUGGGGCGCCAUGGUGCCUGGAGCUGGGCAGUUUUCUCAUCAGAGUGGGGACUGGUAAGAGUGACCUCCCCGCCAGGUUCUGUGUGUUGCCGGCUGAAGAAGGGUAGCUGAAAAAUUCAGACCCAGCACAGUGUUUAUGUUGGUCAAAAAUAGAAAACUAUGUCUGGCGCGGCCGAGGCGGGAGGACCCUUCAGGCCAAGAGCAGCCUAGCAACAUGGCGCAACCCCAUCUCUGUAGUCCUACCUCAGCCCCCCAGCUACUUGAACCCAAAGGUUCAAGGCUCCAGUGAGCUAUGAUCCCACCACAGCAUUCCAGCCUGCGAGAUUGAGAUGAUGAUUAUUCCCCACCUUCUAAGAGACAAAGACCAACGAGCCACCACAGCCACCAGUCCCAGAACCCGCCAAUGCUGGGGAACGGAAAAUGAGGGAGUUCAACUCUGGCCCUCACAAUCCAGUGGAGGAGACGCAACUCAUCUGCCUCUGUCCCUCUGGGCACGCCUCAUGCCAGGUGCAUCUGUGGACAGGGGCCAUGCUCCUGGGCUUCCAAAGUUGGAGAAAGCUGCCAGGCUCAGGUCUGAAGGCCAGAAUUCUACAGUAAGUCCUACUGAGUCAAGGUGGGAGCAGGGUCGGUAGCUUCCGAGGCUCUGCGGGAGAAUCUGUUUCCUGGCCGUAGAGGUGGCCUGCACUCCUCAGCCUGUGCUGCCCGUCUCGAAUGACUGGAGUUUCCUGCUUCUGUCACUACACCUCCCACCCUCUCCAUCACCUGCUCUGCUCUUACAAGGAUCCGAAGAAAUGGAAUCAUCGUAUCGCUGAUCUACGUAAACAAACUGAAGAAUUGUCUGAAAGAAAAUAUGACAUGAACUUAUGAAUUCAACAGGUGAAGAUUUACAACUUGAUAAAUCAACUUUGUCAGCUCGAGCUGUAAAAGCCAAAGGUCCGGUGAUGAUCCCAUACCCUUUUUUCCAGUCUCAUGUUGAAGAUUUUUAUGUAGAAGGCCUUCCCAAAGGAAUUUUUUUUUUUUUUUUUUGAGAUGGAGUUUUCACUCUUAUCGCCCAGGCUGGGGUGCAAUGGCGCAACCUUGCUGGUCACUGCAACCUCUGCCUCCUGGGUUCAAGAAAUUCUCCUGCCUUAGCCUCCCAAGUCACUGGGAUUACAGGUGCCCACCACCACACCAGGCUAAUUUUUGUAUUUUUAGUGGAGAUGCGGUUUCACCAUGUUGGCCGGGCCAGUCUCGAACUCCUGACGUCAAGUGAUCUUCCCGCCUCGACUCCUGAUAUCAAGUGAUCUUCCCGCCUCGGCCUCCC
rnacentral:lncRNA from 1 species